rnacentral:misc_RNA from 1 species
UGAGCUCUCGCUUAUAACUUGAUGACUGACAUAAAAAUUAUGGUUGAAUAUUAGAAAUGACUUACUGAAGCAUUGUAAACAUAAAAAAACCCAGAAAAAUAUAUUUUUUAUCAAAAUGGUGACCAUGCCACUUUAAGAUUUUGAUAUGUUCAUAAGAAGCUGAAUUUUUUUCAUUUGUUUUAAUAAUUUUGUUGUUAUUAUAGGUGCUUCAGAGUUAUUUUUCCCUUUACUGAUCUUCAAUAUUUGAAGUCAAGUCAUGGUAUGCCAGAGGAAAGAAUGUUUAAUUAUUAGUUUCUGUCAAAGACUCAAAUUUUUAUCGGCAGUAUUGUUUGUAGCCUUGGUAUAUAAAUGUAUGAUUACUGU